rnacentral:rRNA from 1 species
UGUUUCCUACGGGGGGCAGCAGUGAGGAAUAUUGGUCAAUGGGCGUAAGCCUGAACCAGCCAAGUCGCGUGAGGGACGACGGCCCUACGGGUUGUAAACCUCUUUUGCCGGGGGACAAACGGCGGCACGCGUGCCGUCCUGAGGGUACCCGGAGAAAAAGCAUCGGCUAACUCCGUGCCAGCAGCCGCGGUAAUACGGAGGAUGCGAGCGUUAUCCGGAUUUAUUGGGUUUAAAGGGAGCGUAGGCCGGUCUUUAAGCGUGCCGUGAAAUUUUGUGGCUCAACCAUGAGAGUGCGGCGCGAACUG